UACGAAGGGGGGCUAGCGUUGCUCGGAUUUACUGGGCGUAAAGGGCGCGUAGGCGGACAGUUUAGUCAGAGGUGAAAGCCCAGGGCUCAACCUUGGAAUUGCCUUUGAUACUGGCUGUCUUGAGUACGGGAGAGGUGAGUGGAACUCCGAGUGUAGAGGUGAAAUUCGUAGAUAUUCGCAAGAACACCAGUGGCGAAGGCGGCUCACUGGCCCGGUACUGACGCUGAGGUGCGAAAGCGUGGGGAGCAAACAGG
rnacentral:rRNA from 1 species